CCAAAGUGCAGGUGGGGCAGGAUGUGCAGACAAGGAGACAAAAGCGUCAUCUCGACGGGAAUGAAAGAAUAUACAGAGAAAUAUCAUUGACUGAUCAACAAUCAGCAAAUACGAUGACAUCUUCCGAAGAACUUUGCGGCAGCGGCGUGGGCGAGGCGACAGAAAUACUGCCCUUUUCAGGGCCAUUUAAGAGUGCUUCCAUGAGAGCUGGGCCCUUUUCAGGGCCUCACUGUUCCUCCUGUCCCGCUUCUCCAGUGCCAUCCUUCAGUUAUGCCAGCCGAUAGCCGUUUCGCCCAGCUGGCAUAUGGCCUGGUCAACCAUGAUACAGAGGACCAUCUUUUUCAAUAUUCGCCUUUUGAUAAUAGGCGAAUAUUGUCUUAAUUAUGCCUUGAAUGCGUUAUUUGGUGUUUGACUUUGGAAUCUGAGAAUGGACAUUCAGAAUUCUGCAGUCUCAAUUUGGUGUUUUCCCCGUCUUGUAAAGUGUGGCCACAGCCAUAGAGUGAGAGAUAGUUUAUUGAUAGAACGUAUGCAAAUAUACUUAAGUUCCUCUUCAGUGAAUGUAGAUGCUAUUGAUAAAAAAUAUAUUUUCGAACAGAUCUACAAGCUAGCAGUUUCAAAAUCAGCUGCAUCUAUGCAAAACACAAACAAUGGCUCUUUCAUAAGGACAAGCUGAUGCCAACUUGUUUUUUUUUGACAGCUCACUUUGGUAGAACACUUAAAAGGGUUUCUGGCAA